UACGAACGCUGGCGGCGUGCCUAAUACAUGCAAGUCGAACGCACAGUUUAUACCGUAGCUUGCUACACCAUAGACUGUGAGUUGCGAACGGGUGAGUAACGCGUAGGUAACCUGCCUGGUAGCGGGGGAUAACUAUUGGAAACGAUAGCUAAUACCGCAUAAUAUUGGUUAUUGCAUGAUAAUUGAUUGAAAGCUGCUAUUGCAUCACUACCAGAUGGACCUGCGUUGUAUUAGCUAGUAGGUGAGGUAACGGCUCACCUAGGCGACGAUACAUAGCCGACCUGAGAGGGUGAUCGGCCACACUGGGACUGAGACACGGCCCAGACUCCUACGGGAGGCAGCAGUAGGGAAUCUUCGGCAAUGGACGAAAGUCUGACCGAGCAACGCCGCGGGAGUGAAGAAGGGUGUCGGAUCGUAAAGCUCUGUUGUAAGAGAAGAACGGGUGUGAGAGUGGAAAGUUCACACUGUGACGGUAUCUUACCAGAAAGGGACGGCUAACUACGUG
rnacentral:rRNA from 1 species